rnacentral:tRNA from 1 species
UCCUUAAUAGCUCAGUGGUUAGAGCACUCGGCUGUUAACCGAGAUGUCGUUGGUUCGACUCCAACUUAAGGAG